GAUGAACGCUGGCGGCGUGCCUAACACAUGCAAGUCGAGCGAUUCUCUUCGGAGAAGAGCGGCGGACGGGUGAGUAACGCGUGGGUAACCUGCCCUAUACACACGGAUAACGUACCGAAAGGUACGCUAAUACGAGAUAACAUAAGAAAUUCGCAUGGAUUUUUUAUCAAAGUUCCGGCGGUAUAGGAUGGACCCGCGUCUGAUUAGCUAGUUGGUAAGGUAAUGGCUUACCAAGGCGACGAUCAGUAGCCGACCUGAGAGGGUGAUCGGCCACAUUGGAACUGAGACACGGUCCAAACUCCUACGGGAGGCAGCAGUGGGGAAUAUUGCACAAUGGGCGAAAGCCUGAUGCAGCAACGCCGCGUGAGCGACGAAGGCCUUCGGGUCGUAAAGCUCUGUCCUCAAGGAAGAUAAUGACGGUACUUGAGGAGGAAGCCCCGGCUAACUACGUGCCAGCCGCCGCGGUAA
rnacentral:rRNA from 1 species